rnacentral:lncRNA from 12 species
UGUGCUGGUGAAAAAAUGUUUUAUUUAUCUGAAAUUUUGUUGGCAGAUGUCACCCUGCUUGCGUGGAGCUCUUAAUUUCAAAGCAAUUGCCCUGUGCAAGUAGCACCUCUUGUGUCAUCCUGACAACAGGGAGUGGGCACCAUCCUCCCUGCUGCUGCUGUUCCCAGCCUUGGAAAGGACAAUUCUGUGCAAGUUUUGGUUCUCACAUCCUCAGCUCUUCAAGCUGUGAGGAGGAAACCAGUGUGGCAGGGCUGUGUCCUUCCUGGAAGUGCUCUGGGAUGCCCUGAGUGCUGUGACCCCACUGCACCCUGACCAUCAGAGCCCUCAGACCUGACCUUCAGCCUUAUUUCCUAAAGAAAUGAUGCUUUGGGU